GAUAAAACCACUUCUCAGCAUACAGCUUUUUCUCUUUCUUGCUCAGUUUCCACUUGGUAUUAUUAUGCUUCCCUGGAGCCAUCCUAAUGUAACUUCAAAAAAACCUGGCUACAAGGUAAACUUGGUGCCACAAAUGAGCUUGGCAUCACAACGCAGAGGGUCCAGAUUCUGUUGUCAGAUUAUCACAGUGGGUCUGUCACUGCCUGCAGAGCUCUUGCGUACUUACAGCAACGUGUCUGAGUGCAAAACCUUAACAGCUGAUUUUCCCUACAGGGUUUUGUGUUAAUCAGAUGGUCCAAUGCCUGUUUGUACAAUGUUUUCCAAAGGACAUCAGGAAAUGGACUGUUUCUCUGUGGCACGGUAGCUGAUGCACAUCCAGCUGCUAAAAUAGAUUUGAUGCACAGAUGUGAAUCAACCUUGAUCCCAGCAAGUGCAGCCUGGUGUUUCCACUGAGGGCCACUUCUAUUUGCACCUGGGGAUGGGUCCUUUUCUGAAGGACACUGUACAUUCCAAAAACCACAGGACUGAUCUGUGUGUAGUUCUCCAGUUUCCCUCCUUUAUUUGCAGUCUUUGCUCUUUCCCUACUGACAAUAGAGGUGUUAAAAUAAGACACUUCAAUUUUCAUUAAUCCUCUUUCAGAUGUGACUUGGUCCCAGCAUUUAUGCACAACCUGCACAAACAGUCCAGUGUGAAGUAGCUGUAGAUGAGUAUUCCCACUUUGUAAAUCAUGGUGUGAGUUUAUAAACAGCCUUGGUAAUGUCCUCACAAAAACACCAGCAGGCCACUCAGACACCUAGAAUCUCUGUGGAAACAAGUUUCCAGAAGAAGAGCAGAAGUACACAAAAAGAUAAGAUGACAUACCAAGAAGUGAAAUGGGACAAGUACAUAGGAUAAAUUACAGCUAUGAUGGAUUAGGUUAGCACAAAAGUGUGAUUUUUUUUAUGUUUUCAUAAUGGUGAAUACAAUUUCUCCAAAGGUCUUUGGAACUCCCUCUAUCCCUCAAAAAAUGUGCCUCCAUGGUCAUCAGCUUCCGAUGUCAAAACCAAAAUGAAUAUAGCAAGAUAUGAAAAGUGAUAAAUAAUUGGCCUUUAAACCAAGUACAACCGUACGAAUACUGCACUCUGCUCUCUGUGAGCAGGGCCUGCACCUUUUCAGUGUCCAACAACUUUCCUUGCUGCAGGGACUGACUGCUUAAGGGAAGAUUCCCUUUUCUCCACAUAUCCUUUCCCCUUCUCCUACUUCACAGUAUCUCAAUACAGCAUGACCUUGUAUACAGCAAGACAUAAAACCAGCUGUUCCUCAGCUUUAAGGAGAAAGGUGAUGGAGGAUUGCCUCCAUUUAACCAAAGUCAUUCUGUCUCCUCUUUUAUUUUUCAAGAAGAAAGGCCUCUUUUCUACUUCAAACUUCUUCAAUUUCUCAAUCUCACUUCCAACCCGAAGUCAUAAUCCUCCAUUUGUGACAUUACAAUUAAUUGUGGUUGAGAUAAUUAAGGUGUCACAAACAGAAGAUAACAACUUCAGGUAGAAAAUUAGCAGCAGGAGAAGACGAUCUCUUUAGCAAGAAAGAUCCCAUUGUCAUGCAAAUUGCUCUAGCAAUAAAAAAAUCAAUGGAAGAAAAAUGCUGAAUGGAAAAUAUGAAAUGAGCCAAAUUAACUCUCAACAGAAUGUUUCCUCACUUUGCCAGAAGGUUCAGUAGUUUUUUAUGAUAUUUUAAAUGCUGUGGUAGGGAGGGAGAGCAAAAAGCCAGGAAGGGAGCACAAGUCAUCUGCAAGUUUGUAUGUGAUCUAGAGUGUCUGAAUUUUUCCUGGUGGUGUUGUCAGGUCUAACCAACUGAACUUUGCAAGGAAUCAGAAAAUUUCAUUUACCAUUUCCCAUGUUUAAAUACUACUUAAAACUAGCUUUGGAAAAGGAAAAAGCAAAACCCAACAGUUUCCAUUUCUGCUAAGUCAGCCACUUAAAGAAAUCAGGUGUUUCUCAAAUGUUCUGCAUGAGUUCAUUAUUUGCUUUGUGACUUUCACAAUUGACGUUGUGAGAUUGAGAUUUCUAAGCGUGAAAAUAAAAUAGUCGGACACUAUGAGACCAUUUUAUAAAGGCUAUAUAAAACCCUAAUAAAUAACAGAGUGUGUCUUGAGAUUUUUGAAAGCAACCUCAAAAGGUAAUGCUGCUUUUAGUACUUCAAUGCUUUGUCAAUGUCUAAAGCUAUGUGUAUUUUGUGAGAUUAGAUAGAUAGACAGACAGACAUAUAGAUAAAGAGGUAAAUGUUAUAUUAUUGCAUUUGUUACUUAAAAUGCAUUACCACAAUAUGUGUGGUUUAGAGAUCUGAGCAAAUAAGACAGACAAAGCUGACAGCAAAGGUUGUUUGGCUCCUGGUUAGGUAAACUGUUUCCUAUACCCAAAGCAAACAUCAGGAGAGAACAUAGGAGGCCUUCUGAAGUCCUAUAGAAUCCCUCUGACUGGGAUUCUUCCUAGAAACUUUGCAUCAGGUGCAAACCUUUUCAGCUGAGCCCAGCACAUGGCACAAUUUAUUUACACAGCUGACAAGUUAGAAAGUAUCAUAUUGGGAACAGGUUUCUAAAUUUGCAUGUUGGAAGUCUUGUUUCUGUGCCUAUUUUUCUGUUCACUUGUGUAAUAUUUAACAGCAGUUGGGAGAUUCCUUAUUAAUAUAGCACAAGGAAGUGGAAAACUCUUCUACAGCUUGCUUACUUUUUGAUAAUGAUGUCAUUAUUUUCCCCUUGAUAGGAUUAAAAGUAUGUAUAAGAGACCAGCCUUCCAGGAGGCAAGCACAGGGAGUCAAAUGAAAUGUGACAAAUGUACAGGAACCAGCCAUGUGGCAAUUGCACAUGAAUCCGCCAUAAAUCCACCAUGCACAACUUUUUAUGGUUUAAAGGCUCAUUUAACUCCUUUCUCUAAUUUGCAUAUUAAACAGCCAUGUGUGCAGGAAGAAAAGAGGAGCUGGGGUAUUUCCCCCAGGCACCAUUAAGCACUCAGCCUGGGUGUUGGGUAAAUUAAGGAAGCUCAUUUCUGCAGGGUGCUUUAGGGUCAGUCAUGACGACUCUUUUCUAUCCCAGCAGCCAGAGAGAGCAGGCUCUGGGGCAGAGGAGCCAGAGUGGGACUACUUCCACCACUCCUUGUGCAUGGAAGUUCCCCCACUGCUUCAACACAGCCAGGAUUUUCCCACCAGUGUCUUUCUGUCACAGGGAGAGCAUUGCAAGUCAGUUUACUACAUGGGCAAAAUAAUAAACGAGCUUUCACUCUCUGCUUAGCACCCUGCCAACGUGGGAAUGCACACGUGUCUCAGCGCUCCAAAGCAGCCCAGGUUCCAGCCUAUUCAAAUUCUCACUUGACAACCAAGCAUGUGAGCAUCCUGAGAGCCUUUUUGUCUCUCAGAGUAUGACUUGGAUAUUAUACUACAGUAAGUACUGACACAUUUUACUUACUGUAAAGAGAAAACAAAACAAAACAUAUACCUCAUGACAAAGUUUUAUGAGUCUGACAGAGAUCUUCUGUAUAUUAACUUGGCUCAAUAACUUUGUGAAGAUCAUUUUUAAGCUUCUAAAUAUAUAAAAAAUUAAUACAAUUACAGUUCACUGAAAAAUUAGCAUGAAAUACAUUGUGAAAGCUAAAAUAAUUCAUGGCAAAGUAAUGUUCCAUUUAAUUACAAAGAUUAAUUCAGCCUUUAUAUUUGCGCCCAGUCUUUUCAUUUUUCAUUGAGAACAGAUGAUUCAAGAGCCAUCUGGUAAAACUGCUGCAUAAAUAUCACUGCAUCUAUCUAGGGUUUACAUAUGGAAAAACUAGAAAAAUAGAAUGAUGGAUCUUGGCAAAACACAGGAAAGUUCCAUCACAGGACUAAAGCCCAAUCCUACAGAUGUCAGUAGGAAAUCACUACUGACUUGAGUGAGAGAUGGAUUGAGCUCACCCUAAUUAUGCACAGUAUUUCUUUUGUGGGAAAAUGAAAUAUCAGGGAUUUUCACAUUGUCAACUACAAUGGAAAGGGAAGUGGCAACUUAAACAGGAGCACUUGGUCUGAAGUGACAAUUUUUAACAGUACUUGAUCUGCAGUGAACUGUCUAAUCCAUACUCAAGAAUACAGAUUGUCAUUAUUUAUUUUUAGAACUUGGCUUAACUGUUCUAUUUUUGUUGCAUAACUGUCCUCGUUUUGUCACAGUAAUAGUAGCUGUGUAGACUUUUCAAGAACUGGUGUUUCAUUUAAUAAUAAUUCACAUUCCACCAUUUCACACUGCACCAUAACCAUCCCCUCUGUAUUACAAGAAUUGUUUUGAAAGCUCUAAAAUAAUUGCUAAAAUAAGGAAGACAGAAUCACAGCUAUUAUUGCCUCUUGGUAAUAGCUUGAGGCCAAGGUCAACGAAAAAGUAAAAUAAAUAAUCAAGUGACUUGUGUGAAUAAUGACUCUCAUGUACACAUAAAAUUGCUUUCACUUAAAUACACAUUAUGGUUUAAAACGUAGCUGAGUCCAUUUAACAACUUUGUGCUGCCAAAUGGAAAAAAAGUCCUAGUCCUUGUCCUUCUCCCCCACUCCUCUCAGCUCCGUCCAUAGUUCUUCUCAUGCUGCCUGCACCCCCUGCCUCCAAAGGCUGCCUCAGCUCCUCAACACAUCUUUCUGUGGGACCACUUAAUACACCAAUAACAAGGUGGAGUUUUAACCAAGGUUUUCCCCAGCUAAUUUUCUGCCAGAUCACUGGGCUGAAUCACUUACUACAUGGAGAGACCCAACAAAUUCUGGAGCUUUUACAAGCCAAGUGCUGGGGACACAUGAUGUGACAAAGUGGAGAAGGGUUAUGUGGUACAAUAGUUACCUCCUCCUCUGAAUGAUCUUUUGAAACCAAAGCCUCACUCAGACAAAACUUGCUGGCAUGGCAAUACUAUUUAGUACACUUAAAAAUACCAUACCAUACCUUAUAAUCCUAGGAAACAGAGAGGGAAAGGGACACAGCAAUUCCUAAAACAACUGUUCAUUGAGAUUAUAUGUUCAGGCUUAAUAACUACUAUUCAGCAAGACAAUAUUAUUAUUACACACCAUAAAGUUUAAAGCAUCUAAAAGUUUAGUAGGACUACCAUGGACAAAAGAGUCAGAAAAAGCAACAAUGUACAUCAGUGCUACUCUUUUCUGUUCUAAAUCCAUUCUGGCUCUCUGGAAUACAAAGAUUCAGUCAUUGGUUCAAGCACUGUGACGAAAGUUUCACUAGAAUUAACCUUUCAGUUUAAAUGAAUCCCACAUGAAAUUAUUCUUUUUUUUAGCAAUAGAACUGGAUUAAGUCAGAGAAAGUGUGAAAUUAGCAUCUUUAUUUCAGUCUUAUAUAAACAUACUAAUUGACUGUGAUAUUUUCAUAAGCACAACUCCUCAGUUCAGUGCAGCACUACCAUUAAUAGACCUAGUCAUAUUUUCUCCUUCAACCAGAAACGCAUUCUGCUUCCAGCUUUGCUUUAAUUUUGCUUAGAAGAACAAUUCUUUGUGCAAUUUAUUUUAAUUCCAUUUUCCAUUUGCAACCUCUGUAAUGACAAUUAGCAUGACUCCAUUAUGUUAUAAACAGAAUAUUAUAUGUGAGAGACAUAUAUUCUGUCUUUCACAAACAGAGCAUCAUAUCUGCAAUACCUCUCUUUGUGGCACACAGAAGAUAUUUUCAUCUUUGAAGAUACAAGUGCACUUACACUGCAGAUCAGCACAACUGAGUUCCUGGCACAGGAUGUGUGUAACUGCUAACUAUUCCUGUCCAAAGCACCUGGGUGAGAUUUAAGGGUCUUUGGAUUCUCAGUGGAGCUGGAAUGAUGCCCAUGGACCAGAAGAAAGGAUGAUGCCCAGAUAUGCAAAAUGCCUUAGCUGUGGCACCACACCAGCAGUGACAGGUCAGCUCCAGCGUGGGGGUCCUGUGCUGGACUCCUCUCUGCACACCUGUGGAUCACCUGGGGCACGACUGCACCAGGGUGUGUGGAGAGCUGGGAGCUCCUCCAGCGGCACUUCAAACAAGCCAGAAACUAAAGUGUUGUGCUCUGAAGACACAGACUAUCAUUAGUAUCAUGUUGAUCUAUAGUUAGAUAUUGAUAUUGAUAUAGAUGAUAUUUAUAUAGAUUAUAUAGAUGUAGAUGAUAUAUAUAGAUAUAGAUAUAUAGAUAUAUAGAUACAGAUGUAUCUAUCACACCCCAUGGUGUGUGCUGCUAUACUGCCUUUGAUAGGAUUCACGCCAAGCUAGGCUUGGACUCUUAGGAGUAUGUAAAAAUCCAUACUCUUCCUGCCUUUAUUUUUCAGGCAACGUUCCAUGCUUUCUAAUGUAGUUAUCUCUGAAAACCAAACAACCAAACAUACUCCCCCAACUCCAAAUUCUCUUUGUGUUUUGAAAUUAACUUAAAUAUCUUCACUGAUACAAUUUUGCACCAGAAUCCAAAGGAUUUGUAAUAGCAAAAAAAAAAAAAAAAAAAAAAAAAAAAAAAAAAAAAGCCACCUUUGGUUGGUCUUUGCCACAUUGGCGAGCUGCAGAAAUUAUUAUAUUCAGCUUUCUAUAGAAGCUCCUUCCUGGAAGUGAAGGAACUCCUUCACUCCUUCACUGCUAACCCCCAGAACACCUCGCGAGUUGACCCACACUCCCAUGUUCAUGCCACUUCUUGCUAGAAACACACCCACCUUGAUCAAAAAAUAUUUUCUGCUGUUUUGUUUUAGCUCUAGACAAGCAGCAGGCUUAAUAAAACCCACUGUGCUAGCAAAAUAAAAGUCCUCAGGGACCCAAAAAACUGUACUGAGAUCUCUGGCACGGGACACUGAGAGAGGGGCAGGCUCAGAGAUCAGGAAAGGGUGAGGAAGCUCUCUCCCCAUCAUAACUGUAUGGGAUUUAUUUACCACAGCAUUUCUUCUCCAGUUUUAUGCAAAACUCUGAAUAACCUGUUCCAGAAAGGGACAACUUCUGACCUUAGUCUCUGCUUGCAUCACUUUACAUUCAUUUAACAUUUUCAAGGUUAAGCAAAGGUGCUGAGCACUUUUUUUUUUAAAUAAAGAAUAGCAUGUGAAAAAUUCCCUUUUCAUUUCUCAUUUCACAAGUGAACUUCAGCUGCAGUCUUGAUGCAACUGAUACCAGACAUGGUAGAGACCCCUUUUAACACUACUCAAACUGAAAUAGUGACUGAGAACUUAAACACCAGUAGUACUCAUGACUUGGAUGUUUUAUCUGAGGAGGAAUUCCUUUUGCUUGAACAGGGACCUGACCAGCACUGUUCCAGUAAGCGUGUCUGUCACUCUCAGUUGUCCAUGCCUUGUAAUAUAUGGGGGGAAAAGCAGAUAUGUACAUAAUCAAAUACAUAGGCUGCAGAACACAGAAAAAAAAUAUUCAGAAAAUGCUCUACUCUCUACUCAAGAUCAAAUUCCUCUCUAUUCCAAACCUUUACAUAUUUUUAGUUUUAAAUGAAUUAUAUCUAGUUAUUUUAACAUUGAUGAAGCUCGUCCCAUAUGCAGAAAACUGAGCACAAGACGCUUCACAGCUCCCUCACAAAUUUUGGCAGCUGAGGAAGAUUUUACUCUUAGCCAGAGCAUCCUGGCUUCUAAAAGGCCACAAAAGGAACAAAUUCCUCAGCCUGAUGAGCUGCUUGUGACAUAGUUCCUUUAUGGGUAAACUCCAGCAAUACCAGUACCUGAAGCCAUUUAAAAUCUCACAACUUUCAGACCCCAGUGACUGGUACAACAUCUGAGCAAGAUGAAGUGCUGCUGGUUCAUGCUCCUGGUUGUGGACAGCUCAGUGCCCAGACUGAGGGUCCAUGGUGGGGUCCCAGCCCCCGCCCUGCCCUGCUGAACUCCUCACUCAGUCCCAGCCAGCAGCAGCUCUCCUCAGUGAGCAUUUACAGCACAUGGAGAUCACCACAGCCAGGAAAUGCACUUUCAUUGCAGAGAGAGGCAAUGCCAAGCACAUACCUGGGCAUGCCCUUGUAAACUCCUCCACACAGAGAAGGGCUCUCCUGCACCUCAGUAUCUGCUACUGCUAAGCUGGGGGACUACACUUUGUAAUUGUACCUCUACAGGAGACAGGUUUAUUUGUUAAAACAACAAAGAUAGUGAAAGUUAACGCUGAAACAAUCCAAGACUUUCAGAGGUGGUGGAAGAUGUCUAGCUCUUUGGAAGAAUUACUCUGUCAUUUAACAUAACAAUGUUUCCAUGUUGCAUUUCUGCCAUAAAACCUUCAGAUUCACCCUGGUCCCUGAGCAUCUGCAGGUGUCUGUCCAUCUGUCUCCCUCCUAUUUCAAGCAUGAGAUUUGUCACAAGUGUUUUGAUGUUACACACCCAUUCUGGUCUUAUGUAGUCGUGGCUGAUUCUGAAAAAUGACAGCUGUGAGAUCAGGGUUAAAUACAAUUUCCUCUCCCUUCACCUGUUUUCCACUAUCUGUUUGCACGGUGCUCAGGUUAUUAAUGGAACUGACAUCCCAGCACAACUGAGUGAGCAGUAGCAGCAGCCAGAUAACAAGGGAGAAGCUGACAGCAGCAAUCUAACCCAAGAGAUAAGAGAUAAGCAAACAUGCCAUGGCUAUUAGUUUAAGCUCUGGCCAAUGGAGAAGAACAUCUCCUGUGGUUACAGAUCAGGAAGGCCCAGUGUUCCUGGGAAGGUUAAAUUAAAUUCAGGAUGUGAUAGAUGAUUCGUAGAGUUCAAAAAUUAAAGUUUGUGAUGAGAAAUAAAUAUUUUAUGUAAAACUAAUAUGAAAAAAAGGAGAUGUUAAUCUGAUAGAAAGUGAAGACUAUUUUUAUUCAGCAAAAACCAUGGAACACUUCUACUCCAGAAAGAAAAUACCAUUCUCUGUUUCUUCCAGGUGAAAAAAUGUUACUCUAAAAAUUGGCAUUUUCCAAACAGCUAUCUCAGGAAUGAUGUAGGAGUGGCAGCCUCAAAAUCCUGACCGAAUUCCAAACUAGAUUGCUGUGUCCCUGGGAUCCCAAUCAAAGUGAAAACUUUGUCAAGAAAAGCCAAAUCUGAAAUAAGCUCAUACUCUGCAUCAGCCAGUGUCAGACAGGGAAAGGUGGACGCAAGGAAAGAAGAACAAGGUAACAAAAAUAACUUCAGCAGAGAAGCAGGAGCUCAGAUGGCUCGGUGUUCAGAAAUACAAAUGUGUCCCUUCACAAA